UUUAUCCUACUUAUUUAUUUAUUUAUUUAAUUAUUUAAUUAUUUAUUUAUUUAAUUAUUUAAUCAUUUAAUCAUUUAAUCAUUUAAUUAAUUAUUUUUUUUUUUUUUUAGUCUUUUUUAAAUAAUACGAUAGUAAAUCAGUAUAAAAUAAUAUUUUUACAACCAAACUUGGGUAUUUUUUGGUAUAUCAAUUCACUGGUAAUAUAUAUGAGUAUAUAUGAACAUAUAUGCAUGUAUGUGUACAUAUUUAACAUUGUAAAGCAAAACUGGGUACAAUCAUAAUCAUUGUGCACAUACAACGCCUUCUCAACAUAAGUAUACAUACAUAUAUAUACAUACAUACAUAUAUAUAUAUAUAUAUAUAUGCAUGUACGUAUGUAUGCAUAUGCUGACCGUGUAAUAUUUUAUUCACACAUUUUAUAGAUAUUCAAAGAAUAUUACUACGCAUUUUUGUUCUUUUUUCACUUUCACGUAUUUUUUUACCCCAUCCCACUUUUGUUUCGUCUUAUGAAAACCCCACUUAUCUAUUUGCAAAUUAUGGUUGCGAUUACGUUGAUAUUUGAACCUAAUAUAACCAUAAACGACGUUGUGUACUGUUUGCUACUGAUGUCGAUUGAUUAUGAAAAAACGCUGUGCAACGUUCCUUUUGCGAAACUAUUCAUGAUAAUGCUCACUGGUUUAGGCUUGUUUUGUGUUACAACAAAUUUGUGGCUACACAAAAAUACAGCAAAUGCAAAUUAUGUAUAUGCUUACCAGUUGUUAACUUUUAACAUUAUUAGUAACUAUUUAAAAAAAAAAAAAAAAAAGAAAAACAGUUUA
rnacentral:lncRNA from 1 species